rnacentral:ncRNA from 2 species
GAUUGGUACUACGGGUGCUCAACCUUUCAUGUGUUUUUAAAAUAAAAACUGAAAGGUUGGGCUGAGAAAGCACCGUUAACUACCUGAUCAGGGUAAUACCUGCGUAGGGAAGCUGCCACUUCAAAUA